rnacentral:tRNA from 1 species
GGUGGCUCAGUGGCAGAGCUCUUGCCUUGCAUGCAUAAGGCCCUGGGUUCAAUUCCUCAGCACCA